GACGAACGCUGGCGGCGUGCUUAACACAUGCAAGUCGAACGGAAAGGCCCUGCUUUUGUGGCGUGCUCGAGUGGCGAACGGGUGAGUAACACGUGAGUAACCUGCCCUUGACUUUGGGAUAACUUCAGGAAACUGGGGCUAAUACCGGAUAGGAGCUCCUGCUGCAUGGGGGGGGUUGGAAAGUUUCGGCGGUUGGGGAUGGACUCGCGGCUUAUCAGCUUGUUGGUGGGGUAGUGGCUUACCAGGGCUUUGACGGGUAGCCGGCCUGAGAGGGUGAACGGCCACAUUGGGACUGAGAGACGGCCCAGACUGCUACGGGAGGCAGUAGUGGGGAAUCUUGCACAAUGGGCGGGAGCGUGAUGCAGAAACGCCGCGUGCGGGAUGACGGCCUUCGGGUUGUAAACCGCUUUCGCCUGUGACGAAGCGUGCGUGACGGUAAUGGGUAAAGAAGCACCGGCUAACUACGUG
rnacentral:rRNA from 1 species